GUGGGGAAUAUUGCGCAAUGGGGGAAACCCUGACGCAGCGACGCCGCGUGAGCGAAGAAGGCCUUAGGGUUGUAAAGCUCUGUUUUAAGGGACGAAUGUCGUGGGGAGUAAUAUGCUCUGCGAAUGACGGUACCUUAAGAGGAAGCCCCGGCUAACUACGUGCCAGCAGCCGCGGUAAGACGUAGGGGGCGAGCGUUGUCCGGAAUUACUGGGCGUAAAGAGCACGUAGGCGGGAACUUAAGUCAGGUGUGAAAGACCGGGGCUCAACUCCGGGGUUGCACUUGAAACUGGGUUUCUUGAGGGCAGGAGAGGAAAGCAGAAUUCCUGGUGUAGCGGUGAAAUGCGUAGAUAUGGGGAGGAACACCAGUGGCGAAGGCGGCUUUCUGGACGGUGUCUGACACUGAGGCGCGAAAGCUAGGGGAGCGAACGGGAUUAGAAACCCUGGUAGUCC
rnacentral:rRNA from 1 species